UCGAACGGGAAGCUUUGGACUCGUCUGAAGCGGAGAGUGGCGAACGGGUGAGUAACACGUUGGUGACCUACCCCAAAGAGAGGGACAACCAUUGGAAACGAUGGCUAAUACCUCAGAUGUACUACUGUUUAGAAAGGUAGUACUAAAGCUCCGGCGCUUUGGGAGGGGCCUGCGGUCCAUCAGCUAGUUGGUAAGGUAAUGGCUUACCAAGGCAAAGACGGAUAGGGGGCGUGAGAGCGUGACCCCCCACACUGGUACUGAGACACGGACCAGAUACCUGCGGGUAGCAGCAGCAAGGAAUAUUGCGCAAUCGACGAAAGUCGGACGCAGCAACACCGCGUGAAGGAUGAAGGCCCUCGGGUCGUAAACUUCUUUUCUGGGGGAAGAGAAAGGACGGUACCCCAGGAAUAAGUCUCGGCUAACUACGUGCCAGCAGCCGCGGUAAAACGUAGGAGGCGAGCGUUAUCCGGAUUUAUUGGGCGUAAAGCGCAUGCAGGCUGUUUUCUAAGUCGGACGUGAAAGCUCCUGGCUCAACUAGGAGAGGCCGUUCGAAACUAGGAGACUUGAGGAUGGUAGAGGUAAGUGGAAUUCCCGGUGUAGUGGUGAAAUGCGUAGAUAUCGGGAGGAACACCAGUGGCGAAGGCGGCUUACUGGGCCAUUCCUGACGCUCAGAUGCGAAAGCUAGGGGAGGAGAACGGGAUUAGAAACCCCGGUAUUCCUAGCCGUAAACGAUGUCAACUAGGCGUAGGAGGUUAUUGACCCCUUCUGUGCUGUAGCUAACGCGUUAAGUUGACCGCCUGGGGACUACGGCCGCAAGGCUAAAACUCAAAGGAAUUGACGGGGACCCGCACAAGCAGCGGAGCGUGUGGUUU
rnacentral:rRNA from 1 species